rnacentral:rRNA from 1 species
CAAUAGCGUAUAUUUAAGUUGCUGCAGUUAAAAAGCUCGUAGUUGGAUUUCGGGUGGGAAUGGCCGGUCCGCCGUUUCGGUGUGCACUUGCUACGCCCACCUUGCUGCCGGGGACGUGCUCUUGAGUUCACGCUCGGGACACGGAGUCGGCGAGGUUACUUUGAGUAAAUUAGAGUGUUCAAAGCAGGCCUACGCUCUGAAUACAUUAGCAUGGAAUAACACGAUAGGACUCUGGCCUACCUUGUUGGUCUGUAGGACCGGAGUAAUGAUUAAGAGGGACAGUCGGGGGCAUUCGUAUUUCAUUGUCAGAGGUGAAAUUCUUGGAUUUAUGAAAGACGAACUACUGCGAAAGCAUUUGCCAAGGAUGUUUUCAUUAA